UUGCUGUUUUGACGUUACCGACAGAAUAAGCACCGGCUAACUCUGUGCCAGCAGCCGCGGUAAUACAGAGGGUGCAAGCGUUAAUCGGAAUUACUGGGCGUAAAGCGCGCGUAGGUGGUUUGUUAAGUUGGAUGUGAAAGCCCCGGGCUCAACCU
rnacentral:rRNA from 1 species